rnacentral:sRNA from 1 species
GCCGGGUGCAGUGGCCCAAGCCUGUAAUCUCAGCGGCUUGGGAGGCUGAGGCAGGAGGAUUGCGAGUUCAAAGCCAGCCUCAGCAAAAGUGAGGUGCUAAGCAAUUUAGUGAGUCCCUGUCUCUA